CCUACGGGUGGCAGCAGUGGGGAAUAUUGGACAAUGGGCGAAAGCCUGAUCCAGCCGUGCCGCGUGUGUGAAGAAGGCCUUCGGGUUGUAAAGCACUUUCAGUGGGGAAGAAAGCCUUGGGGCUAAUACCCUCGAGGAAGGACAUCACCCACAGAAGAAGCACCGGCUAACUCCGUGCCAGCAGCCGCGGUAAUACGGAGGGUGCGAGCGUUAAUCGGAAUUACUGGGCGUAAAGCGCGCGUAGGCGGUCUGAUAAGCCGGUUGUGAAAGCCCCGGGCUCAACCUGGGAACGGCAUCCGGAACUGUCAGGCUAGAGUGCAGGAGAGGAAGGUAGAAUUCCCGGUGUAGCGGUGAAAUGCGUAGAGAUCGGGAGGAAUACCAGUGGCGAAGGCGGCCUUCUGGACUGACACUGACGCUGAGGUGCGAAAGCGUGGGUAGCAAACAGGAUUAGAUACCCGGGUAGUC
rnacentral:rRNA from 1 species